GAUUAUGGCUCAGGACGAACGCUGGCGGCGUGCUUAACACAUGCAAGUCGAACGGACCGAGCCCCUUCGGGGGCGAAGGUUAGUGGCGAACGGGUGAGUAACGCGUGAGGAACCUGCCUUUCAGAGGGGGACAACAGUUGGAAACGACUGCUAAUACCGCAUAACACGGUAGUAAGGCAUCUUACAGCCGUCAAAUAUUUAUAGGUAUGAGAUGGGCCCGCGUCUGAUUAGCCAGUUGGCGGGGUAACGGCCCACCAAAGCUACGAUCAGUAGCCGGCCUGAGAGGGUGAACGGCCACAUUGGGACUGAGACACGGCCCAAACUCCUACGGGAGGCAGCAGUGGGGAAUAUUGGACAAUGGGGGGAACCCUGAUCCAGCGAACCGCCGCGUGAGUGAAGAAGUAUUUCGGUAUGUAAAGCUCUAUCAGCAGGGAAGAUGAUGACGGUACCUGACUAAGAAGCCCCGGCUAACUACGUGCCAGCCGCUGC
rnacentral:rRNA from 1 species